rnacentral:lncRNA from 1 species
ACCCGAAACCAGAAGAGGGCGUAUGGCUAGAGUUUCACCCUAAGAAGAAAGGGGAAGCAGGUGGAAAAGCAAUUAAAAAAAAAUCAGAUUCUCUUUCGGUGAUUCAGAGCUGAAGGUGCCUCACUGCCCUGUGGAACAGGUGAAUAAAGCCUUCCCAGCAUCUCUCUCUAGCCUAUUAUCUCCUGUUAGACACAGCCCAGAAAAUGAAUAGAGACAAGUCCUGGCUGGGUCUGGGUUCAGAAACAUAAUAGAAGGAUUCAUCUAAUCUGUCGGCCACUGUGGAGGAAGUGAACCUUCUAGAUCCUGCUGACUCAUACAAUGAGUUUUGUGUGGACCAUCAGACAAAAGGGCUGGCUGGUGAAGGUGGCUGUUGUCUGGAAAUUCCUCCCAGCUCUCCUCUAAUUAUGUCAUAAGGACUGGAGGCCCCUUAGCCUGCUUGUGAUAACACGCAAGGAAAUAUGGGCCAACUCUUCACAUGAACACAAGAUAUUUCCAUGCUAGCCUUUUGCAAGUAACAACAGAGAGAGCUCUGUGCAGUUUUCACUGGAAUGCCUGUGGAUUGCUUGUGUCAUAACUGUAAUCUAAAGAGUUGUCCAUUUGUUGAUUCCUUUGUAUUUGUAUUGGUAGAAUUGCCACUAUCAAACCAAGAUCUUUAGCUGCCUUUGUAUCAACUUCUUUGGAGCUUAUGUGAUUUUCCAGAAAAUUUCCAAGGCAUAGUUUUGUCCCUAAGUCCCAUGAAUAUGUAAUAUUUUGUGUCUCUCUAUUAAAAUAGCACUUUUUGUGCAUUCCAUUAACAAA